UACGUAGGGGGCUAGCGUUGUCCGGAAUCAUUGGGCGUAAAGCGCGUGUAGGCGGUUCGGUAAGUCCGCUGUGAAAGUCGGGGGCUCAACCCUCGGAAGCCGGUGGAUACUGUCGAGCUAGAGUACGGAAGAGGCGAGUGGAAUUCCUGGUGUAGCGGUGAAAUGCGCAGAUAUCAGGAGGAACGCCAAUUGCGAAGGCAGCUCGCUGGGACGUUACUGACGCUGAGACGCGAAAGCGUGGGGAGCAAACAGG
rnacentral:rRNA from 1 species